GAAUAGUACAAGUUCUCUUCCCCAACAAACAAAACUCCAAACGUAUACAAGAAUUAGAGUUAUCAUACCCAUAAGCAUCCAUCUUAUUGAGAAAUGCAACAAUGCAAGAGUGUGAGGCAUAUUAGUGUUGAAGUCAACUAAUUAUUUAAAGCGAGACAUGCUAAAUUAACGACAGAUGCAUUAAAUUUCACAUGAAGCAAAAUCAGAUCAGAAAAACACCAAAUUCACAAAAUUAACCAUCCAAAGAAAGCCUACAUAAUUUGUUAAUCACAAAAAAUAAAAAGUUAAUUUUUUGGUUAAUUAGAAACCAAAUGAGCAAAAAGCUAACACCUUCUUGUCCUCAGAUGAGUGCGA
rnacentral:misc_RNA from 1 species